CCCGCUGAACUUAAGCAUAUCAAUAAGCGGAGGAAAAGAAACCAACAGGGAUUGCCUCAGUAACGGCGAGUGAAGCGGCAACAGCUCAAAUUUGAAAUCUGGCCUCACGGCCCGAGUUGUAAUUUGUAGAGGAUGCUUCGGGCGUGGUCCGGUCUAAGUUCCUUGGAACAGGACGUCAUAGAGGGUGAGAAUCCCGUAUGCGACCGGGUGCCGCUGUCCAUGUGAAGCUCCUUCGACGAGUCGAGUUGUUUGGGAAUGCAGCUCAAAAUGGGUGGUAAAUUUCAUCUAAAGCUAAAUACUGGCCAGAGACCGAUAGCGCACAAGUAGAGUGAUCGAAAGAUGAAAAGCACUUUGGAAAGAGAGUUAAACAGUACGUGAAAUUGUUGAAAGGGAAGCGCUUGCAACCAGACUUGCGCGCAGCCGAUCAUCCGGUGUUCUCACCGGUGCACUCGGUUGCGCUCAGGCCAGCAUCGGUUCUGGUGGUUGGAUAAAGGCCCUGGGAAUGUGGCUCCUCCGGGAGUGUUAUAGCCCAGGGUGCAAUGCAGCCUACCGGGACCGAGGACCGCGCUUCGGCUAGGAUGCUGGCGUAAUGGUUGUAAGCGGCCCGUCUUGAAACACGG
rnacentral:rRNA from 1 species